rnacentral:rRNA from 1 species
GAUGAACGCUGGCGGCGUGCCUAAUACAUGCAAGUCGAGCGAACAGACGAGGAGCUUGCUCCUCUGACGUUAGCGGCGGACGGGUGAGUAACACGUGGAUAACCUACCUAUAAGACUGGGAUAACUUCGGGAAACCGGAGCUAAUACCGGAUAAUAUAUUGAACCGCAUGGUUCAAUAGUGAAAGACGGUUUUGCUGUCACUUAUAGAUGGAUCUGCGCCGCAUUAGCUAGUUGGUAAGGUAACGGCUUACCACGGCAACGAUGCGUAGCCGACCUGAGAGGGUGAUAGGCCACACGGGAACUGAGACACGGUCCAGACUCCUACGGGAGGCAGCAGUAGGGAAUCUUCCGCAAUGGGCGAAAGCCUGACGGAGCAACGCCACGUGAGUGAUGAAGGUCUUCGGAUCGUAAAACUCUGUUAUUAGGGAAGAACAAAUGUGUAAGUAACUAUGCACGUCUUGACGGUACCUAAUCAGAAAGCCACGGCUAACUACGUG